UAGGGAAUCUUCCGCAAUGGGCGAAAGCUUGACGGAGCAACGCCGCGUGAGUGAUGAAGGUCUUCGGAUCGUAAAACUCUGUUAUUAGGGGAGAACAAAUGUGUAAGUAACUAUGCACGUCUUGACGGUACCUAAUCAGAAAGCCACGGCUAACUACGUGCCAGCAGCCGCGGUAAUACGUAGGUGGCAAGCGUUAUCCGGAAUUAUUGGGCGUAAAGCGCGCGUAGGCGGUUUUUUAAGUCUGAUGUGAAAGCCCACGGCUCAACCGUGGGGGGUCAUUGGAGACUGGAAAACUUGAGUGCAGAAGAGGAAAGUGGAAUUCCAUGUGUAGCGGUGAAAUGCGCAGAGAUAUGGAGGAACACCAGUGGCGAAGGCGACUUUCUGGUCUGUAAAUGACGCUGAUGUGCGAAAGCGUGGGGAUCAAACAGG
rnacentral:rRNA from 1 species